CCUACGGGAGGCAGCAGUGAGGAAUAUUGGUCAAUGGGCGCAAGCCUGAACCAGCCAUGCCGCGUGCAGGAUGAAGCAUCUAUGGUGUGUAAACUGCUUUUGUACGGGAAGAAACCCUGCCACGUGUGGCAGAUUGACGGUACCGUAAGAAUAAGGAUCGGCUAACUCCGUGCCAGCAGCCGCGGUAAUACGGAGGAUCCAAGCGUUAUCCGGAAUCAUUGGGUUUAAAGGGUCCGUAGGCGGUUUUAUAAGUCAGUGGUGAAAUCCGGCAGCUCAACUGUCGAACUGCCAUUGAUACUGUAGGACUUGAAUUAUUGUGAAGUAACUAGAAUAUGUAGUGUAGCGGUGAAAUGCUUAGAUAUUACAUGGAAUACCCAUUGCGAAGGCAGGUUACUAACAAUAUAUUGACGCUGAUGGACGAAAGCGUGGGGAGCGAACAGGAUUAGAUACCCUGGUAGUCCACGCCGUAAACGAUGGAUACUAGCUGUUGUUGUAAGACUGNGUGNGUAGAGAAGAGAUAGUAUCCACCGNGGAGGUACGGCGCGAGACGACGAACGUACGAAGAAGUAGACGGACGUGAGAGNGCGAGGACGACGACGAGGGAGGAGG
rnacentral:rRNA from 1 species